rnacentral:lncRNA from 1 species
CCUCAGCCUCCCAAAGUGCUAGGAUUACAGGCGUGAGUCACUGCGCCUGGCCCAAGUCCGGAAUUUUCAACAGGACAUGGGUGUUACUGUGCCCAUGUGACAUUUGGGGAACCCAAGGCCCUGAGAAAGGCAGAAAAAUAACCCACGCAGGGACUCUCAGCCCACAAGUGAAGCUGAGAACCGGGAAUGGAAAACAGGGAGGCAGCACAGAGGCAGGAAACUCAGGUGUCAUAGCUUGGCUCAGCUUGGAAUGCACUCCCUCCACCUCCAACCAGAGCUCCCCACAACUGACCCUGCCUUCUUCUGCAAGCUCCAUUUCAUCAAGGGAAACGAUCCUUAUUGCCUCACCAUUUCCCACGUGAAGUCUGUAUUGACAUUCUCAUAGACCUGGGAUAUUGUGUCUGCAGCACAUAGUCCAAUUAUUUUCAUGUUAUCUACUGACAGGUCUAUUUGUCUCCCUGUUACACUGUGAGCUCCGUGAGGGCAGAAACAAUGUUAGUAUUUUCACUGCUGUGUCCCCAGCGCCUGGUCCGGGGCCCGGCACACAGCAGGCAUAUAAUAAGCAUGUGUUGAAUCAAUAAAGGCAUCAAAGAAUAAACCAAUACAUCAAUCAA